rnacentral:rRNA from 1 species
AACGAACGCUGGCGGCAGGCUUAACACAUGCAAGUCGAACGCACCGCAAGGUGAGUGGCGCACGGGUGAGUAACGCGCGGGAAUGUACCGUUUAGUCCGGAAUAGCUCCGGGAAACUGGAAUUAAUACCGUAUACGCCCUUCGGGGGAAAGAUUUAUCGCUAAACGAUCAGCCCGCGUGAGAUUAGGUAGUUGGUGGGGUAAUGGCCUACCAAGCCUACGAUCUCUAGCUGGUCUGAGAGGAUGAUCAGCCACACUGGAACUGAGACACGGUCCAGACUCCUACGGGAGGCAGCAGUGGGGAAUAGUGGACAAUGGGGUCAACCCUGAUCCAGCCAUGCCGCGUGAAUGAUGAAGGCCUUAGGGUUGUAAAGUUCUUUUACCGAUGAAGAUAAUGACGGUAGUCGGAGAAAAAGCCCCGGCUAACUUCGUGCCAGCAGCCGCCGUAA